AAUUCAUAUAGAUAGACCAGGGGGCACGUACAUAGCUAUCCGCUUGCUUAAUUCGCCCGGCCGCGUAAUUUCUCGAUCAAUCGAUCGUCCACGUUACACGUUAGUUCUCGGAACCCAUCAGAUCUGCGCAAGCGCCCGCGGGCAGGAAAGGAUCCGUAUAUCUGCCGGCGGCCAAGCUUCACCAUGCCGCCGGCGUGCCCCUGGUCAUCAGGCAGGAGUUAUCGACAGCCUCAGAUGGAAGAAGACCUCCUGCUGCAAAGGAUGGAGCAAGGUGAAUGCGGCGAAACUGAUGAUUAUUCUUCCGCCGUCCGUCGGUUCAUGGCCGUCUGGACGAUCUUCUUCAGGUGUUUUACUACGUUGGCAAGCAUGGCGUUGGUGGUUUACCUCUUUGUGGCAAGGAACAAGUAUCAUGAUCCUGAAUUGCAGAAUCCUGGGCACAUGGCGUUCCUUGUGUUCAUAGCUAUUUGCAUGAUUCCUAUCGGGUAUCUGUGUACUCCAGAUGUCUAAACCAAGCUAGAUUCUACAAUUUUCUUUGUGCAGUCUAGUUCAAUCCUUUUUUGUUAUAGUUUCAAUUCAUGUGCAAGUCAGAAAUUUGAAUCUGAAUUUUCUAGGCAACAACUCAUCAAUUCAUGUGCGAGUAAGAAAUUUGAACUUUU